CCAUUUGCAUACAUGAGCAUUGAUUAUAUUUUCUUUUUUUUCAGGUUACAGUAUGAAAACUAGUGGAAUUGUUGGAUCUUCAAAUAUUAGUGGAACCUGUGAAACUGGCAAAUCUGAUGUAGAGGAUGGAGUUGCACAUAUUCAUGAGUUGAUAUUUUCAAUUUCUAUCAUGGAUAUGUCGCUGGCUACCGCUGGCCUUGAUUGGGCACGCAGUGUGGACGCAGCCAUGGACCAACGCAGCCAAGCUUACCAGGCUGGGCCAGCGACUCGACCAAUAUGUGGAAGCAGGACUGAAAUUUUUAAACAGGUGCGUUUGGAAUGUGUGGUGAGUUUAUUGAAGGCAGCUGUGGCUCCACUCAGCUCAUUCAUAAUGGAGGCACUUGCUCUGAAUCACCCUUUAACGGCCGCCAUUCGCCAACAACUGCAACUGGUUCCAAGCAAAAUGGUGCUAAAAAAUAUCAAUUCAAUGAAACCUACAACACCGUUCAUGAUGUGGAGGACGAUGAGGAAGAGCCGGCCGGGGAUUGAGACCUAGAGGCUGUGGAAGAGGCUGUUGAAGAGGCUGUCGAGGAGGCUGUCGAAGAGGCGAGUGGAGAGGCUAACUGAAGGAGGCUGAGGUUCUAAAUGAGCUGGAGCAAGUGAGAGAUAUGACGAUGUGUGAAGCGUUGUCUGAAGGCUGAUGAGGCUGGAGAACUGGAGGAUGAUGAGGAAGGGAAUGCAGACACAGGGGAAAGAGGCAAGCUGAGGCUGGAGAGGCAUUUCGAAGGAGACAAAGGCUGUAGUGCUAAAGAUGCAAGUAAGUACUGGAGCAAGGAGUUUUUAUUAUGAGUGAUUCAUUCAAUCAUUUCAUCAAUAUGAAAUUUGGAUUUUUAUGAGAAACUGUUUUUUUUUUUAAUUUUGUAGAUACAGUGGAAAAUUAUGAUUUAUAAUUAAUUUGGAAAAUACUAAUGUCAAAAAUAUAUCUAGGGUGAAGUGGGGUUUGAUUAUAAAAUGUAAAACGGGAUGAUUUAAUUAUGAUGAUGAUGAUUAUAAUAAUUGAAAGAUAAAAACAUUUGUAGCUAAGAAACAUUGAACUCUGAUAAUAAUAGUUAUCUUACAAGAAUAAGUGAAAAUCUAUGUUGUUUCUUUGAAACCUAUAAAGUGUCUUAAGACAGUCCAUGUUCUACUGUACAAAGAUGGAUGGAAAAUAUUUCAUUGAUUGAUAAUGCUUGAUUGACAGUCGUGGAGAGCAGCACACCUUCUUCACUUCAAUUAUUUUCAAAAUUAUUACCCUGCCACAUAAAAUUACAUUGCAAUUCUGCUUAUUUUCAACAAAUUUCUAUUAAAGCUCUCCUAUUUUUCAAGUCUGUAGAUCAA